rnacentral:lncRNA from 1 species
GACAGUAGCAGCAGCAGGGUGCUGCCGGGCGGGCGGUGUCUCCCAGGCGGCCUUGCCCGGAUGUGCUACCCUGACUCAUAGUCGCGCCGCACGCAGGCUCCGCGCUGCUGCCGUGCUCUCCCGUCCCGCUUCGCGCACACGCCUCCCGCGCCUCCCUCCGCGCCAGCGGGGAGGCGGUGGCUGCAGCAGCGGCAGGAGGGGAAGGAGGAGGAGGCCGCGGCGGCACCAUGGAUAAUCUAAGUGAUGCCCUGAAAAAGCUGAAGAUAACAACCACUGACAGCACAGCAGAUAGCUUGGAGGGAUGCUUGGACUGUCUGCUUCAAGCUCUGGCACAAAACAAUAUGGAGACAAGUGAAAAAAUCCAGAAAAGUGGAGUUCUUCAGGUGUUCGGGAGUCUGUUGACGCCACAAUCUUCCUGCACAGCAAAAGUAGCUAACAUCAUAGCAGAAGUAGCCAGAAAUGAAUUUAUGCGAAACCCAUGUGUGGAUGCCGGGUUGAUCCCUCCUUUGGUGCAGCUGUUAAACUGCAAAGACCAGGAAGUAUUGCUUCAAACAGGACGUGCCCUGGGCAAUAUAUGCUACGAUAGCCAUACCCUGCAGUCACAGCUUAUCAAUAUGGGUGUUAUUCCUACAUUAGUGAAAUUGUUGGGUAUUCAUUGCCAAAAUGCAGCUCUGACAGAGAUGUGCCUUGUUGCAUUUGGCAAUUUAGCAGAACUUGAGUCAAGUAAAGAGCAGUUUGCCUACACAAACAUUGCUGAAGAGCUUGUUAAACUGUUCAAGAAGCAAAUAGAGCAUGAUAAAAGAGAGAUGAUUUUUGAAGUUUUGGCUCCCCUGGCAGAAAAUGAUGUCAUUAAACUGCAGCUGGUUGAAGCUGGCUUGGUGGAGUGCCUACUUGAGAUUGUCCAGAAGACUGUGGACAGUGACAAAGAAGAUGAUGUUGCAGAGCUUAAAACAGCUUCUGAUCUUAUGGUUUUAUUAUUGCUUGGAGAUGAAUCCAUGCAAAAGUUAUUUGAAGGAGGAAAAGGCAGCGUAUUCCAAAGAGUACUUUCGUGGAUUCCUUCCAACAGCCAUCAGCUACAGCUUGCAGGAGCAUUGGCUAUUGCAAAUUUUGCCAGAAAUGAUGGAAACUGCAUCCAUAUGGUGGAUAAUGGCAUAGUUCAAAAGCUGAUGGAUCUGCUAGACAGACAUGUGGAGGACGGAAAUGUAACUGUGCAGCAUGCUGCACUGAGUGCUCUCAGAAACCUGGCUAUUCCUGUUGUAAAUAAGGCUAAGAUGCUAUCAGCUGGUGUUGCAGAAGCUGUAUUGAAAUUUCUCAGAUCGGAGAUGCCCCCUGUUCAGUUCAAGCUGCUGGGAACAUUAAGAAUGUUAAUAGAUGCACAAGCAGAAGCCGCUGAACAGCUGGGCAAAAAUAUCAAACUGGUGGAACGGUUGGUGGAAUGGUGUGAAGCCAAGGAUCACGCAGGUGUGAUGGGGGAAUCCAACAGACUACUUUCCGCACUUAUACGACACAGCAAAUCUAAAGAUGUAAUUAGGACCAUUGUACAGAGUGGAGGCAUAAAGCAUCUAGUAACCAUGGCAACCAGUGAACAUGUAAUAAUGCAAAACGAAGCUCUUGUUGCACUGGCAUUAAUAGCGGCUUUAGAGUUAGUCACUGCUGAAAAGGAUCUCGAAAACGCUCAGCUUGUUCAGAUUCUACACAGACUGCUCUCAGACGACAGGAGUGCUCCAGAAAUAAAAUACAACUCCAUGGUGUUGAUCUGUGCCCUUAUAGGAUCUGAGCCUCUUCAAAAGGAAGUGCAGAGCAUGGCGUUUCUAGAAGUCAUAUCAAAACUCCGCAGCCAUGAGAACAAAACUGUUGCCCAGCAGGCCUCACUAACAGAGCAGAGACUUGCUGUAGAAAGCUGA